GUUUACCACCCUGCAUCUGAAUGUGAUGUUUUCAAUUUGAGGCAUCUUUAUUUUCUCUCACCCUGCCAUCUCACUCAGAGCUGCUGCUUUUUUUUCUCUCUCUCUGAUUUCUGGAGCUUUUCUGUCCCUGUCAGAUUUGUGAACCUACGCAUGUGAGCGUUUAUUCCUUCUUUGGCCGGAUCUUUUGGCUGUGCAAUCCGCACGACCAUCACACGGUGCAUCUGUCUUCAACUCGUCCACCAUAUGCGUCUUCUCUGUCGUACGAUGGUGAGCUAGAUUUGGAGGAAGGGACUGUUAUGGGCAGCGGGGAGUGAAGUGUCCUUUACUGUCAACCUGACAAGCUGUUGGUUUGAUUCUUGUGUAUUUCCAUCAGAAAUAUAGCUGGAGCACUUAUCUCUCACUGCAAAUGACUAAUGGUUACAAAAUCAGGCUGAUUCACUGUGUUCAGUCUGAGAUUGAUGGGCCUUAAUAAUUCUGUUUAGAUCAGGACCAAAUCAGGAGAAUCAAGUCAAAAUAAAGUUUGAUAUUUCUUUUACUUCAAGAUGUCUCAACUACAAACUUCUGGAUUAAGAAUGGAUGUUGCGCCGUUGUCUAUCAGCUGAUUUGUAGAUGUUUGGUGGUCUUACCUGCAGUCCUGUUUGCUGUCAUUGAGCCAAACCAAUGGUAGCCUUAAUUAUUGUAACACAACCACAGCUUGCAACCAGUUUGCAGAGUUGUGCAGACCCCAUUUCUGGUCUUGAGGAGUCUUUUUCAAUCAAACCAGCGCCCCAUACUAGAGUUUAUUUACUUAAUAGUUCGCAUCAGUCACGUCUGCUUCCUUUAGAGGCCAUUGGUCACACACAGCAAGUAACACAGCAAGUAACCGGGCGCUUACACCAAGCACGAGUGAAAUCAUCUACUUACUUAAUUCGUGCGAAUCCAGAUGUAGAAUGAUCAGUAUUUCCUCGCUUCAUUCGCACGUCAACGGUAAUUUCAACGGUAAUUCCUGCCAAUUCAACCGGCGGGAUCAAGUGAUAGACAAAGGUUUUUCUACAAUAUACCAGGUAAUCCGACCUCCUCACUCCAGGCGAGCUUCUUCUUAUCCCAGUUUCAGAAAUUGAAAGAAAAGGUAUCAUAUAAUUCUGGGCACCCACACACCGACACGAUCAGUUUGUCCUCCAUUUUAGAUACCAGUGAACAACCAUUAUCCAUUAUCAUGAUGGGAAAAUCCACUCAAGUUGAGACAUUUUCAUCUUUCGUCCAAUUUGCGUCAUUUGCGCUGCCAGAGCCUCUAAUCACAUCUUUACAUUGACUUAAUAUGUAAUUCAGUUGUGCGAAUGAUUUUCCUCAGAGACAGUCAGGGUUGCAUCAGGACAGCUAAUGAUGGUGGUGGCUGUGCUGAAAGUCGUAAUGGUGCAUCUCUGUAAUGAAGCAUGGCGCCAUCUUCUGGGUAAAGCACUACAAUACAAUUAUAUACUGAUACUAAUUACAUUUGGUACUGUUACAGUCUCCACACACCAAGCGCAAAAUCAUUUGUGCGACUGAAUUACGUGUCAAGUCAGCACUCGUAGAACUCUGGAAUGAAUGAGACGAAUUGGGUGGGAGAUGACAAUGUUUCAACUUGCGCGAAUAUUAGCAUUAUGAUAACUUAUCAGCACAAAGGUUGACGUAUGAAAAUGGACGGUCGUUCACUGGUAUCUAAAAUGGACAAACUGAUUGUGUCUGUGUUGGUGCCCCGAAUUAUAUGGUACCUUUUCUUUCAAUUACCGAAACUGGAAGUGGAGGAGGUCCUGGAGUAAGGAGGUCGGAUUACCUGGUAAAUUGUAGAAAAACCUUCGUCCAUCACUUGAUCCCGCCGGUUGAAUUGGCAGGGAUAACCUUUGAAAUCACCAUUGACGUGCGAAUGAAGCGAGGAAAUACUAUUCAUUCACGCGUCUAGAUUCGCGCAAAUUAAGCGUGCAGACGAUUUUACUCGCACUUGGUGUGAGCGCCCCAUUAUUUAGUAUUUUUAUACAUCUUUGUAUUAAUAGGACAUUAAGAUGACACUCCAGUAGGUCUACUCCAACAUUAAAUGAAUUACGAUGAUGUGCAGUCAUGCCAUAGCAGAUUUCCUGUUAUGAAAAUUUGAUUUAUAUCCAGUCACAAAGCGGCCCAACAGUCUGAAGUGAAUGUGUAGACGUGUGUGUGUGUGUGUGCUGUUAAAUGUGAGUAUUAGUUUUAAACUCUCUGUAGCAUUCUUUUUUUUUGUCCUUUCCCUCUCACUUUUCUCCCUCGAAGACUAUUUUUCUUCUUUUUUUUCUACCUGAUGUACUUACUCAAGUAAAACCGGAGGAGGAAGAAAAAAACUGUAUCUUUAGAGAACGAGCCAAAGUGAUUGAAAGCGCAGCAGCAAUCCAGUAAAAUUUCCACAAAAGAGAAAUACAGUAUUUGACUCUUUUUGUGGUAAAUGUUAUCGUGCCGCUCAACCAAUCCCAGCAAUAAAGAAUAAAACGAAAUGGGAACUCAUGCCCGAAGGAAACAAGAGUGAAAGUGAGGAGUAACAUUUGUUAUAACUUUGUGAAUUUUCCACAUUUGACUACAACUCUUAAUGGCAGACGUGUUGAGAGCUUUUCUUCAAAUGGAAAAUCAGAGUUCACUUAGUCACGGGGAGGUGAAUCUUAGGGCGGCGCGUGUGUUUUCCACCCGGAGAGCCGAUUAAACUCCCCUCUGUCAAUAUUAAAGGCUCAUCCGCCGGUUUUGAAGCGAUUGGCACAUCAGUCUGCAGGAUUUCAUCAUGGCAGUCUGGAGGAAAUAAGGUUACAGCCUCCCCAUUGUCCUCUCUUAGUGCAUGUUUGUAUCAAGUUUCAAUCAGGUGAACGCUCAGGUGCUUCAGGAGGGGACUCUCGCUGCAGUUAAUGAGUUUUAAAACCCGAUUUUUUAAAGAUUUUAUGACUUCUUGGAGAAGUUUCUCUGUAGUACUAACUCUUCUCAUGAUUAUUUUUAAAAGUUAGAACCUUUUAUGUGAUUUAGAACAACUCACACACUAAUUCAGAGCAGCGAGUUUAUUUAAUACCUGCAACAACAACAACAACAACAAAGAAAAGGCCUUUGUGCCGCCAUUAUACAAGCGUAACAUGAGUUAUGUGGCCUGGCAGCCUUCAAGGCUUCCUGCUGUAUAAUCGACCGUGAAGUCACGAUGCAUUCAAAUGUACCUUACAUCAGUCCAAACCAGUCAACACACAGUUUUAGUCCUUUGUGUGAUGAAAGUCUUGUAUUUAUUUCACUCAUUUGCCGUCCUUGACAGCCCUUGGUCGGUUUUAUUUCUUAUAAAAGCGCCUUACAUAGCUUUAUAAAGGAAAGAAAAUGUGUUCAUGUAGCUUUAUGUCAUUAUAUAAGGUUGUAUUUUAUAGGCAGGCAUGUGGCCAGGUUUUUACAAUCGAGGAUGUCAUGGGAUAAAAGAAUAUCAGACAUGACUUCCUUGCUCAGAAGAAAAAUGUAUCUCUCCACUUGCUCCUCUCUCUAACUCACAAAUGCCACGCCACGUAGAUCAGAGGCGCGGCAUGUCAGCACCAUUUAUUUUGUUAUUCUGGUCGCGAGCGCUUGCAGCUCAUACCCUGCCAUUUUUGCGCAGGAUGGUUUUGACAAAACAAUAAAAAAUCUGGUCAUGGAGCACCGAACUGUCCCUGAACGUUCAGCACCCCAAUUGAAAAUAUCUGCAUUCUUCAAAAUAAUGUUUGUGUUAACUUUGUCGCCCCCUGUGGACAAAACAUUCUCUUGUGGAUGCUAGCUUAAGCAUCUCUCCCAGCCCCGGAAAACAGCGCUGGCUCAUCUCCUGCCACCCCGUAUGACGUACAAGAUGAUCUCCCCACCUUUGCUUGCAAGGGGUUAAUUUUCAGGAAAAUUGUUAAAGCAUAUUUUAAAAUAACCACAAAGUUUCUGACUAUUUUUCUUUUCCCACAGGCUUCUACUCUG